UAUUUUAUUAGUUUAAGCCCCAAAAUAUCUACUACUUUAACUUCUUCAUUAAGUCUUAACCUUAUCCAAUGUUUUAGCUUACACUCUAAGCCAUUCUUACUCUAAUCCAUUUUUGUAAAAAUCACAACUUUCUUUCUCUCCUCAAGUCAGGCUACUUUCGAUCAAGAAGGGGAAACAACAAACUCACAAUAUACAUCCCUCAUAUCUCAAGGUCCGGACGACAAAAAGUGAAGCCGAAGGAUAAGCGACUCCACGUCAGCUUUAAGAACGUUUAAGGUUGAGCAGGCGAUGGAAUGGAUCGGUGUUGAGCGGAUUCCCUUUUGAUGGAUAUGUAAUGAAACCUUGAGUAUGCAUCUCCACAUGCAUAACUCACACGUUUUUCCGCUGCAAACACUCUGACUUAUUUAUCGUUUCUACUUGAACUUUUUACUACUUCAUUUUGAUUAACUUUCAUUUAUAUAUAUAUAUAUAUAUAUAUAUAUAUAUAUAUCACUAGUUUGUUGUUAUUAAUGUU